CCUACGGGGGGCAGCAGUCGAGAAUCAUUCACAAUGGGGGAAACCCUGAUGGUGCGACGCCGCGUGGGGGAAUGAAGGUCUUCGGAUUGUAAACCCCUGUCAUGUGGGAGCAAAUUAAAAAGAUAGUACCACAAGAGGAAGAGACGGCUAACUCUGUGCCAGCAGCCGCGGUAAUACAGAGGUCUCAAGCGUUGUUCGGAAUCACUGGGCGUAAAGCGUGCGUAGGCUGUUUCGUAAGUCGUGUGUGAAAGGUGCGGGCUCAACCCGCGGACGGCAGAUGAUACUGCGAGACUAGAGUAAUGGAGGGGGAACCGGAAUUCGCGGUGUAGCAGUGAAAUGCGUAGAUAUCGAGAGGAACACUCGUGGCGAAGGCGGGUUCCUGGACAUUAACUGACGCUGAGGCACGAAGGCCAGGGGAGCGAAAGGGAUUAGAUACCCCAGUAGUC
rnacentral:rRNA from 1 species